rnacentral:rRNA from 1 species
ACGCUGGCGGAUGCUUUACACAUGCAAGUCGAACGGUAGGAGGGGGCAACCCCUUGAGAGUGGCGAACGGGUGAGUAAUAUAUCGGAACGUGCCCAGUCGUGGGGGAUAACGUAGCGAAAGUUACGCUAAUACCGCAUACGAUCUAAGGAUGAAAGCGGGGGACUCGCAAGGGCCUCGCGCGAUUGGAGCGGCCGAUAUCAGAUUAGGUAGUUGGUGGGGUAAAGGCUCACCAAGCCAACGAUCUGUAGCUGGUCUGAGAGGACGACCAGCCACACUGGAACUGAGACACGGUCCAGACUCCUACGGGAGGCAGCAGUGGGGAAUUUUGGACAAUGGACGCAAGUCUGAUCCAGCCAUUCCGCGUGCAGGAUGAAGGCCCUCGGGUUGUAAACUGCUUUUGUACGGAACGAAAAGGUUUCUAUUAAUACUAGGAGCUCAUGACGGUACCGUAAGAAUAAGCACCGGCUAACUACGUGC